AAUAAAAUAAAAUAGAUGUUUUAUUUUCUAAAGAUUUUUUUUUGCCGGAAGAAGAAUUUUAAUUAAACACAUCAUAAUUUACAUUGGGACGACGGCGUCGAGGCCACCAGCCAACACAACCAACUAAGACAUCUUCAAGGCCACCGACCAACACAAUGACUGGACCGCCGACAACAGGGACAAUCACAUAGACCCUUGUUAAGUAAACCCGCAACGUAAACAACAUAAAAAAAAUCAAUAAAUCGCACCCACAGGAUUUCAACUAGAUCUGACCCCACACGAUACAAGACCUAACAACCAAACAUGAUCUAACCAGACCGAGCACACCUUCGUAUGGACGCCAAGGUGGUAGACAGAACAUCAUGUAGGGGCUUUGACCUUAAAAAUACAAGAGGUCCAGAUCAAGACGGGUAGAGUGACCAUGGUCUGGAUCCGAGCCGAGACCGAUCAUCGCGGAGAACCGAAGGUGCUCAAUCAAGAUGGAGAAACGGCCGUGGAGGAGCGGCGGUGAAGGAACAAAACAAAGCAGUGGAAGGAUGGGGUGGUGGAGGACCGGGGUGGGCAGCAGUGGUGGGAGCAGUGAGCGGAGGGGGAAGGAGGUGGAGUCGGAUUUGGGUGUAAGGGCAGAGAAACUGAUGGAGACAGAGCAAGGAAGAUGAAGGACUGAUCAGAUCAGGGGCAAGGGAUUGCCGCCGGACGCGCCGGCGAUAGCGGUGGACAAAGGAGAAGAGGAGGGAGAGAGAACAGAGUAGAUUUUGCAGUCAAUUGUGCUUGCAGGCGGCUAUUUUUUAAAGCAUAAUUGUUCACUCUUUGUUGAAAAGAGUUAUUUUAUUACUUAAACUAUUUGGAUAAGGCCAUUUCUAUUUCCAUAAACAUUUUUUUUGGUUUUAAAAAUUUUAAAAAUAUUCAAAAUAA